rnacentral:lncRNA from 1 species
GGCCGCCGAGCGGGAUCUGUGCGGGGAGCCGGAAAUGGUUGUGGACUACGUCUGUGCGGCUGCGUGGGGCUCGGCCGCGCGGACUGAAGGAGACUGAAGGUGCUGGGGGGACCCUGAUGUGGCACCAAAUGAAAUGAACAAAGCUCCCCAGCCCACAGGCCCCCCACCCGCCAGGUCCCCUGGACUCCCACAGCGUUUCCCCCGGGGCAGACUGCACCGGUGGUGUUUAGCACGCCUCAAGCGACACAAAUGAACACGCCUUCUCAGCCCCGCCAGCACUUCUACCCUAGCCGGGCCCAGCCCCCUAGCAGUGCAGCCUCCCGAGUGCAGAGUGCAGCCCCUGCCCGUCCUGGCCCAGCUCCCCAUGUCUACCCUGCUGGAUCCCAAGUAAUGAUGAUCCCUUCCCAGAUCUCCUACUCAGCCUCCCAAGGAGCCUACUAUAUCCCUGGACAGGGGCGUUCCACAUAUGUUGUCCCAACACAGCAGUACCCUGUGCAGCCAGGAGCCCCAGGCUUCUAUCCAGGUGCAAGCCCUACCGAGUUUGGGACCUAUGCUGGAGCCUAUUACCCAGCCCAGAGUGUGCAGCAGUUUCCUGCUAGUGUGGCUC